GUAAACCUGACAAUACUCUUUAAAGAGUGAAAAUCACCCCUUUUUUGCCGAUAUAUGGAGCUGUCAAAAAAAUGGGUAAAUAUUUUUUCCAGAUAAUGCGUAAUUUAUGCCCAUUUUUAUGUUCCUUGUUUUAACCCAUUAAAGAGUGAAAAACAUGUUAAACUUUUAAAAGAAAUUGGUGCUUUUGCUUUUGUGUCGGAAUCGAAAUAAAGUCAACAAAUCCCUUUAAUUGCAAAAAUAUUGCCCUGCGACCGUAUUCGUUUUCGUCUCGGUUUUCGUAGUCCUUCAAGUGAACCAGCCUUUGGCGGAGACGAUCCGGUAAUACAGCUACCCAUCGUCAUGUAUAGGAAGCAGCGGUGCGGCAUCAAAACUUCAUCGAAUCUUGAGAUGCUUCGGAAGCUGUGCGAAACUUUGGCAGGAAAUCGAAACGAAACGGUGCUAAAAGGCGAAUCAGCUGCUGAUCAACAAACUCGGAUUGGAUCAACGGCUCGCAUUGGAUAGCAUCCCAGGUUAGCACGAACAUCCAAAGAACGUACUGGACCAGUUUUGCGGUAUUAUCGAUUAUACCAAGGAUCGCACGUAGGAUAUAGCCAAGGAAUCUCCUGUCGGCAAUGAUCAUCUUAAACUUCCCCGAUAAUAGAAUUGACUAGGAAAUAAAGAUCAUGAACGCAUCCAGAGACAUUCGACAACCCAGAAAUUUGAAGCGCCAUCGAUUUAGUGAUUGUUCCCAAAGACACCCGCUGUUGAUUUUUCCUUUUGUGUCCCGGGAAGGAUACAUUCACAUUCAUUCUUACUUAAUAGGACGACAGGAGCCUCCGUUCUGAUAACGAUGGGAUGCGAUCCGGUUUCGACAGGAGAAAGAACGUUUUAAUGUUUACAAGCAAAAUCUCUUGACGAUUGUUAAAUAUAUAUACAUAUUAAAAAAUGAUGUAAUAAAGAAUCAGUUCUUGAACCCCCCAAUAAACGUGUCUUUGGUUUGAUUAAAAUAUUACUAAAAUUUAAAUGCCCUUUUAAAAGCAAAGGGUAAAAAAUACUCAUUUACGAAAAUCUUUUUUCUUGGCUAGUGAGUAAAAAAUACCCCUGAAUUUGACGUAUAGGCCGUUUACCCAUUAAUGAGUAAACGAUCUUUACUCUUUUAAUGAGUUGAA